rnacentral:tRNA from 1 species
CUAUCCGAUGGCCGGCGGGGUGGGCGGCCGUGCCGACAUCAUGGCGGUCUUCGGCUCGGGGCUGGACGGCAAGA